rnacentral:rRNA from 1 species
UACGUAGGUGGCAAGCGUUGUCCGGAAUUACUGGGCGUAAAGAGUGUGUAGGCGGUGCUCUAAGUCUGGUGUGAAAUCUCCCGGCUCAACUGGGAGGGUGCGCCGGAAACUGGAGUGCUAGAGUAUGGGAGAGGUAAGCGGAAUUCCUGGUGUAGCGGUGAAAUGCGUAGAUAUCAGGAGGAACACCUGUGGUGUAGACAGCUUACUGGACCAUCACUGACGCUGAGACACGAAAGCGUGGGUAGCAAACAGG